UCUGGCAUUGAUCACUAAUUGAG
rnacentral:piRNA from 1 species